GAUGAACGCUGGCGGCGUGCCUAAUACAUGCAAGUCGAGCGGAGCGCGGGCGGGGGUGUAACACGUAGAUGGCCUCCUCUAAGACUGGGGUAACUUCCUGGAACCGGUGCUAAACCCGCUACUUAUAGCUGGAUCCGCGCUGCAUUAGCUAGUUGGAAAGGUAACGGCUUACCAAGGCAACGAUUCGUAGGCGACCUGAGAGGGUGAUCGGCCACACUGGAACUGAGACACGGCCCAGACUCCUACGGGAGGCAGCAGUGGGGAAUCUUCCGCAAUGGGCGAAAGCCUGACGGAGCAACGCCGCGUGAGUGAAGAAGGUCUUCGGAUCGUAAAACUCUGUUAUCAGGGAAGCGUUACCUACUCAGAAAGCCACGGCUAACUACGUGCCAGCAGCCGCGGUAAUAC
rnacentral:rRNA from 1 species